UACGAAGGGGGCGAGCGUUAUUCGGAAUCACUGGGCGUAAAGCGUGCGUAGGCUGUUUCACAAGUUGGAAGUGAAAGCCCAGGGCUCAACCCUGGAAUUGCUUUCAAAACUGUGAGACUAGAAUCUCGGAGAGGAUAGCGGAAUUUCCAGUGUAGUAGUGAAAUACGUAGAUAUUGGAAGGAACACCAGUGGCGUAAGCGGCUAUCUGGACGAGUAUUGACGCUGAGGCACGAAAGCGUGGGGAUCAAACAGG
rnacentral:rRNA from 1 species